rnacentral:rRNA from 1 species
GUCUGAACUCAAAUCAGGUAAGAUUACCCGCUGAAUUUAAGCAUAUUAAUAAGCGGAGGAAAAGAAACUAACAAGGAUUCCCUUAGUAACGGCGAGUGAAGCGGGAACAGCUCAAGCUUGAAAUCAGCAUUUGGUAAACAUAUGUUGAGUUGUAGCUUUUGGAAGCAGUUUCAAGCGACUGGUUGCGGUAAAAGUUCUUUUGAAUAAGACAUCAAAGAGGGUGAGAAUCCCGUCCUUGACCGUGAUUUAAGUUGUGAUACGAACUGUUUUCUGCGAGUCGGGUUGUUUGGGAAUGCAGCCCUAAUUGGGAGGUAAAUUUCUUCCAAAGCUAAAUAUCAGUAAGAGACCGAUAGCAAACAAGUACCGUGAGGGAAAGAUGAAAAGCACUUUGAAAAGAGAGUGAAAAGUACGUGAAAUUGUUGAAAGGGAACCGGUUGGUAGCCAAGCAUUUCCUAGCAAUAGGAAGGUCAACAUCGAUUGCUAUUUAACUGCCAGAAAGGAAAUUAUGCAGACUAGCGGAGGAAGGUAGGGAUUCGAGUUUCCAGAUCAUUCGUGGUUUGGUAUUAUGGCUCGAGUUCUGUUAUAGCCUCCAUGGGUUUGCUUUUUACGCCUAGUGGUGGUGGCGAUCGAGGACUGCAGCGCGUUUUCCAUUUUUAAUGGGAUGAUCUAAUUGUUUGAGAGCAUUGUAGUUGUGAUUUGGUAGACAGCAUGCUGACUAUCAUUGGCAAUUAUAUGAUUUUGGGCAUUUGGGAUUAAUAAGCGCUUUAGAUGUUGGCGAAAAGGCACUAAUCGACCCGUCUUGAAACACGGACCAAGGAGUCCAACAUGCAUGCGAGUAUCUGGGAAAAUUAAACCCAUAUGCGCAAUGAAAGUGAACUAGUAGAAACUUUUAUUAGAAUGCAACCGGGAUAGUAUCCUGGGCAGCAUCGACCGACUUUAGAUAGCGUUGCUUGAAAAGGUUGAGUAAGAGCAUGUAUGCUGGGACCCGAAAGAUGGUGAACUAUGCCUGAAUAGGGUGAAGUCAGAGGAAACUCUGAUGGAAGCUCGUAGAGAUUCUGACGUGCAAAUCGAUCUCCAAAUUUGGGUAUAGGGGCGAAAGACUAAUCGAACCAUCUAGUAGCUGGUUCCUGC